CUUGCUAAUAUUGUCAGCUAAGUGGCGCACGGGUGAGUAAUAUAUAGUUAAUCUGCCCCAAAGAAGAGAAUAAUUGUUGGAAACGACUUGUAACGCUCUAUAUGCCUUUAUUACAUAAGUAAGCAAGGGAAACAUUUAUGGCUUUGGGAUGAGACUGUACGGUAUCAGCUAGUUGGUGAGGUAAUGGCUCACCAAGGCUAUGAUAUCUAACUGGUUUGAGAGGAUGAUCAGUCACACUGGAACUGAGACACGGUCCAGACUCCUACGGGAGGCAGCAGUGGGGAAUAUUGCACAAUGGAGGAAACUCUGAUGCAGCAACGCCGCGUGGAGGAUGACACAUUUCGGUGCGUAAACUCCUUUUAUAUGAGAAGAUAAUGACGGUAUCAUAUGAAUAAGCACCGGCUAACUCCGUGCCAGCAGCCGCGGUAAUACGGGGGGUGCAAGCGUUACUCGGAAUCACUGGGCGUAAAGAGCAUGUAGGCUGGUUUGUAAGUUGGAAGUGAAAUCCUAUGGCUUAACCAUAGAACUGCUUCCAAAACUGCAGACCUAGAAUAUGGGAGAGGUAGAUGGAAUUUCUGGUGUAGGGGUAAAAUCCGUAGAGAUCAGAAGGAACACCGAUUGCGAACGCGAUCUACUGGAACAUUAUUGACGCUGAGAUGCGAAAGCGUGGGGAGCA
rnacentral:rRNA from 1 species